CUAGAGGCAGAGGCUGAGACAGCGGCUGAGGCUGAGGUGGCUGAGGCUGAGGCGGCGGCGAGGGGCUCCUAGCCGGGGCCGCGGGGCCAGCCGAGGCCGCCGCAGCGCCGGGAGCCAGACGCCGGCAUCCCGCGGGCGCAGUGUGAGCUGAGAGUGAAGUGUGUCAGGCUGGACAUGGAGAGCUCAAGGUGUGGCUAAAGGAAACACGCCAGCGCCGUGCAUCACGCCUGCUGUUUCCGUACUGCUGAGCAAUGAGCUCACUUUGCUCGCCCUGAAAGAGUUUGCCUCAGAUUUGAGCCAAAAUAAAAACUAAACAAAUUUCAAGACAAAAGAGGUCUCCGCCAGUCAAGAAGCCCUCAAAAGCAUUUUACCAUGGAUAUAGAAGACGAAGAGAAUAUGACCACCUAUCUAGAGUUUCCAUCCCUCAUUCUCAUCAUGGGACCAUCACUUUUAUUCCAGAAACAUGCCUCUAGGUGCCCGUCUCAUAAUGCCGUGUGGCUUCAUGUGAAGUUGUGGUCCUUGUAAUAAAGCUCUGAACUUGCGCCACUCU
rnacentral:lncRNA from 1 species